rnacentral:misc_RNA from 1 species
GGAUGAAGAACGUAGCGAAAUGCGAUAAGUAAUGUGAAUUGCAGAAUUCAGUGAAUCAUCGAAUCUUUGAACGCACCUUGCACUCCUUGGUAUUCCGAGGAGUAUGCCUGUUUGAGUGUCAUGAAAUUAUCAACUUCAUAGUUUUAUUACUUUGAAGCUUGGAUUUGGAAGCUUGCUGGCUCUCUGGGUCGGCUCCUCUUAAAUGUAUUAGCUGCUUGUCCGCAGGUUGGCUCAGAGUGUGAUAAGUAUCUACACUUGGUGGCUGCUUGCUUGGAUGUGGCUUCUAAUCGUCUUCGGACAACUCUUUAAGAUCUGACCUCAAAUCAGGUAGGACUACCCGCUGAACUUAAGCAUAUCAAUAAGCGGAGGA